UACAGAGGUCUCAAGCGUUGUUCGGAUUCAUUGGGCGUAAAGGGUGCGUAGGUGGCGCGGUAAGUCGGGUGUGAAAUUUCGGAGCUUAACUCCGAAACUGCAUUCGAUACUGCCGGUGCUUGAGGACUGGAGAGGAGACUGGAAUUUAUGGUGUAGCAGUGAAAUGCGUAGAGAUCAUGAAGGAAGACCAGUGGCGAAGGCGGGUCUCUGGACAGUUCCUGACACUGAGGCACGAAGGCCAGGGGAGCAAAACGGG
rnacentral:rRNA from 1 species